GCAGGGCUUACAGCUGCCAAGUUCAAUAAUGGGCCCAACACCAGCCAUGUUAGUCUUUUUUCUUUUUCUUUUUGCAGACCCAAGGUGUUGCUCAUAUGUGUUGUGAGCCUGCCAAGCUGGAUUAGCCAAUCAUGAAUUUAUGACACAGUAGCUGGUUGUAAGAGCAUCUCAGGUUUCAGCUUUACUGAUAAACAACAGGUCUGAGCAACCAGUCACACCCAGAACACAUAAGCAAAUAGAGCACUAAUGUUCCAACUGAAAUCCAAUAACUAGACCUUCUAUCAGAAUUUUGAAGGUCUGAAUUCUAGGGUCACAAUCCAGCAGACUAGAGUCAUGAAGGCUGGUUAGAUGUAUUGUCUCCAGCAAUUGACUCAGGGCACAAACUGCAGAAUUUAUAGCCAACAGCCAGGUGCAUGCAAUCACCACUCCACCCCUGGCAGCUACUAUAAAUUCACUUAGUCUCUUACUGCCCAGUGCCUUCUUGCUGAUAACUGGCUGCUUCUCCUCAACUCCAUAAAUUAACACUUCUCUCACCUGUGUUCUCUGGGAGACAACAGCUGUUCAAUCUCCUGCUCAGACUUCAACUUUUUUCUCCAAAGGCCACUCUGCCCCAUUAGCUCUUCCUGUGGCAACCACUCAUCCUGGUCCAUCUCAGAUGCCUUCCCACUCAGAUGUCUCCCUGCUCCCCAUGACUCAGCAGCUGAGACCUCAAUCGAUCUUGGGCCUAAAAUUAACUGCAAAAUGCAAAACAGACAGCUCAUACCAGUGAGAAGAUAAUAUGAAAGAAGAGCGUGUGGAUAAAUUUUUUUACACGUGCGCUGCAAGAGCGACACUUUGAUGCUUCCAUUUGUUUAGCGUGGCUGGAAAAUCCCUUGGCUGCUGGCUCCUUUUCAAUGUCCACUGACUUGCUUCAUUGGAAGAAAACCUGAAACAUACAACUCAGAGCUUGUGUUGCAAAUGAAGAGAGGAAUGCAGUCAUCUUUUCCCCCAAAGAAACUGAAGUGUUUUAAUGCUGGCUCCCUGUAGCUCUUGGAGAAAUCUCUGAGGAAUGAUAAAACUUUGCAGGGAAAAAACACCCACUUUCAAAUCCUCACACAGCACAGAGAGAUGUUAUGCCUAGCAGAUCAUCUGUUUCAUAUUUUAAAAUGUCUCUUAUUGAGCUAUUAACUAGACACUGUGCAAUGCCUUCCAAGUUCUCACAUCUCACUUGGCUAGUGCUCUGUCUUCAGGGACUCAUCCUUUUCUUCAAAGGAUUCUUCUUCUUCUUCUUUAGAUGUUUAGCUCUCUUUACUACCCUCUUUUAAGGUUACUCAUAUCAUCUUCCCAUUUUGAGCUCCCACUUUUCAACUCUUGCAGGGUUUUGGCGGGGCUGGCGGGUGGCAUUUCAGGAGAAAAUAAAAGAAGAGGUACAGCCCAGCUGGAUAAAAUUCUCUAAUGUUGUCUUUGCUCUCACUUUAAGCUAAGCUGCAAAUCAUCUUCAGCACAGAGUAGAUUUCAGAAAGCUUCUGACAUGGACUGGUUGACAGGAAACCUUACAUCAGUGCUUCCUAAAUUGGCAUUUGAAGAGGCACUAUUUUAUACCAUUUUAUUGUCGUUUCAUAUUUCUCAUGCUGCUGAGCACAGUUUGGACUCUAGUGGCUCAUCCAAGUAGGAAGAAAUGACAUGCUAAGGAUAUAUGAUCGGAUCUCCCUAAUUUAAUUUUAAAAUCACCACGAGCACCCCCCUCCCAACAACUGGAUUGGACUCUAGGGAAGGAGAGGCUAGCCCUUUCCCCAUGCUAUUUUCCUGAUCUAAUUCACCCCCCUAAAAUUGAUAUUUGUCCUACUGGGAAAAACUUAACAGUUACCUGUCUGGCUGCCCCAGGAAUCAAACGGCAGCUUCAGGUUGUGAGUUUCAAGCAGUGAAUUAACAUGAAUUUACUUAGGUUGCCCAGAGUAACACCUCUCUGUAUCCCCCAGAGCAACACCUUCCUUUGCAUAAGUAAGGUCCCAUUCAUACACAUGACACUAGUGGGAACCACUUCCCUGUGGGGUGAUCCUCCCAGCUACAUUAUGUGUGUAGACACUGCAACUCUGUGGGUAGGGCCAAUCUUUCUUCUUCCACAGCUAAGUAAUGCAAAGGGAGAGGGAGGGAAAUGUUCACCUUUUGGCUACCAGAAAUAUGUCCCUGAGGGUCAUGGAGCCUUCAGGGACAUAUUUCUGGAAGUCAAAACUACUUUUGGAGGGAGGGGAGAGAAGUGAAAAUUGCUCCCCCUUCCAUGCAUACUUGGAACAUGCAAAACACCCAAGCUUUCUUGCAAGGGGGCAGCACUUCUUCUACCCUCCUAUGACUUCAGUACAUGUUGGCCACUGGAAGUAAGCCUGAAUUACAGCCAUGGCACUAGUUCUGCUCCAGCAUUAGUCACUUAAUAAUUGUGCAAACUUAAUGGGAGACUGGGGGGACUAGCUGUGGGGAGGGGAUGAUACAUAUACAAUUGUCCUGUUUCCUAAAUGCAGCUUCUUUCAAGACCCACUAAGCCAAAGAGAAGUGAAAAUGACUAGAUCACUCACAGUAUAGUUUCCCCAUAGCUUUGUGACCUGGUACUUCACUUGUUAGAAAUAAGCUGCAAAGUAAAAGUGCCCAUGCAUAGUACAAAUAUACAUUUUAUAUUGGGUGCACUGCAUUAUUUUUUCACUGAAAGUUCACUAUAUUUUCUACGAAAUGCAUUUAAAUGUUACAUUUUUGGUAACAUAUAUGAAAAACUACCUCUCUUCACUUUUCCCCCUGGAGAUGAAAGUAAACAUUAUGUGUUAUCAAGAGGUUUUGAUGAAGUGUGAUAUACAGCCUGUCAUCUCAUAGGCAAUGCACUUGUUUCAUUUUUCUCUGUGAUAACAAGACUCUUAAGAUUUUCACCUGAUAAUGUCAACACCACCUAAUCGCCAGUUCAAGUGUAACAUGUGUUUUCACUCAUCCUUUACUCUGUCAAAUAGUUUGUGGGGAUAUUUAAGUUCUCAAAGACUUGCAAAGAAAGGUUUUGUAAUAAAAAGCUCAACUGCC